rnacentral:misc_RNA from 1 species
GUUGGUGAACCAGCGGAGGGAUCAUUACAAGAAGCGCCGAAAGGCUGCUUAUAACCAUCGCGAACCUAUCCAUCAGCGUUGCUUCGGCGGGAGCGCUCGCGGGACCGGAGUCUCCCCGGGCCCCGGGCCGUGGACCCACCCCUCAGGGGUGUGGGGCCGCCCGCCGGAGGUACGAAACUCUUGCAUCUUAGUGGCAUCUCUGAGUAAACAAGCAAAUAAGUUAAAACUUUCAACAACGGAUCUCUUGGUUCUG